rnacentral:rRNA from 1 species
ACAUGCAAGUCGAGCGGCAAGUUGAGUAGUAAUACUUGACCUAGAGCGGCGCGCGGGUGCGUAACGCGUAUGCAACCUACCUUUUACUGGGGGAUAGCCCGGAGAAAUCUGGAUUAAUACCCCAUGGUACCUAAGAAUCGAAUGGUUUUUAGUUUAAAGAUUUAUCGGUAAAAGAUGGGCAUGCGUCUGAUUAGCUAGUUGGCGGGGUAACGGCCCACCAAGGCGACGAUCAGUAGGGGUUCUGAGAGGAAGGUCCCCCACACUGGCACUGAGAUACGGGCCAGACUCCUAUGGGAGGCAGCAGUAGGGAAUAUUGGGCAAUGGUCGCAAGACUGACCCAGCCAUGCCGCGUGCAGGAAGACGGCCCUCUGGGUUGUAAACUGCUUUUAUCUGGGAAGAAAAAGUCCAUGCGUGGAAAAUUGCCGGUACCAGAUGAAUAAGCACCGGCUAACUCCGUGCCAGCAGCCGCGGUAAUACGGAGGGUGCAAGCGUUGUCCGGAUUUAUUGGGUUUAAAGGGUGCGUAGGCGGCUGAAUAAGUCAGCGGUGAAAGACUUCGGCUUAACCGGAGCAGUGCCGUUGAUACUGUUUAGCUUGAGUUGUUGGAGGGGUACAUGGAAUUGAUGGUGUACGGUGAAAUGCAUAGAUUCCAUCAGGAACACCGAUAGCGAAGGCAUUGUACUGGCCAACAACUGACGCUUGAGGCACGA